UACCCUAUGAGGAGGAUCUCCCAAAAAUUGAUAGGAAGUGCCGUAUGACACUAUACAGCAGCUCUGUUUCAAAAAAUGCUCUCAUCCACCGAUACCAGAUCGCUGUCAUCGGUCGAGUUCAUUAUUUGCUUGUGAAGCUGUGUGUGAGAUUUGAAACGGGUGGCUGAGGGUU
rfam:Cicer arietinum chromosome Ca7, whole genome shotgun sequence.